rnacentral:lncRNA from 1 species
AUGGAUAUGAAGACAGCAUGCAUAGAUUUAUAUAUAUAUGUGUGUGUGUAUAUAUUUGAGGAUCACCAAUGCUUACCCAAGCGUAGCUGUAUUUAUGUUCUAUGUACAAACUGUCUAACAAAAAUUCCCCUAAACCUUGCACUUUAAAUANNNNNNNNNNNNNNNNNNNNNNNNNNNNNNNNNGUUGUUUUUUUGUUUUUUUUAAGUGUGUUGUAGUUCGGUUUUAGUGGCAAAACCCAACUGUGACAGAUUUUCAAAUUGAAGUCACAAAUUGUCUCAUCCCAAAUGAAUGAUGCCUUUUAAAAAGCUUUUAACAAAGAGCCUCUACAUUUCAUAAGAAAUGAAUGAAGCACUUGUUUUACAAUCAAUAAACUAAUAAAGCAGGGAGGAGACUGAUGGCCAGCCUGCUGUACUGAAAUCCAUAUUGUUGUAAUACAGUUCUGUAUUUAGUAGUGUGUUGUUCUACCUAAAAAGAGUAAAAGUCACAAACGAAGAGACUCUGUCAUGGUUUUUUGUCACGUUCUGAUAUAUUUCUCUAUGCAUGCUGCUUUGCUUUGUCCUGAUCUCUCAAGUCAAUAAAUGAAACCUUUUGAUCCUGCGAUGCAUAGAGAUUAGAGCCAGGUCACAGACUCUGAAAGAGAUCUGUGCAGUGUCCUUUCUUUUUUUUUUUCCUUUUAUUUUUGAUUAAGGGCUCAGAUGAAAAUUCAGUGUCAUAUUUUUUCCAACCUGUCCACCAGGCAACGUGCUGUAACUCUUUAAGUAUAACUGCUGGUUGAAAGAAAGAACAAAACCUGCUUCACACCAUGCUGUCAGUUUGAGAAAAUGAGCUCAAAUGAUUUCUGAGGAGAGGAUAGACAACUGUAAUGAUGUAAUGGUCCCACUACUUUUCAGGGCCAUUUUUCAAAAGGAGAGAGAGAGAGAGAUGACAUUGAUAUAGAAAGGGAGGCAGGGAUAGAAGGGGAGAAAUAAAAAAAUAAAAAAUAAAAAGAUAAAAAAAAUCAUUCAUCAUUCAGUCCCAUUGCUCGAUUCAAGUCCAGAUUAAAAGCAUUGCAGGCUGGUUUAGGCUGGAUCAAACUGGAUUAGUCCAAACUGACUGGCUCAUAUGGCCUGGGUAGGGUUGGUAUGGAUCAGUAGUUCAGGGGUGUAGUCUUGUCAUUUGUGAAACAGGAUUGGUUUAGACAGGCCGGCGAGGAUUUUUGGCACCUGGACCGAGAUGAUUUCUGCAAUCAUUUCGGGAAAGCUGACCUUCGUGGGCAGAGACCGAGCUUGGACAAAGAGGUCAAAGGUGAACUGGUGCAACUUCUGAACAAUCUGGGUGAGGGUGAGAAAAGAGAAAAAGAGGGGAAACAAGAACAAGCAAAAUGACAACAUGAAAAAAUGAAGCGAUAGAAAAGUUCACUAAGAAUGUAAAGUGUCAUUAUUUCCAUGUGCUGCCUGCAUUGUUUUAAAAUCAGAUUUACACCUGAAUUACCAUAGUAACACACAUCGCUUUCACUUAUUGAUGACAUCUUACCCUCUGCUGGCGGGCAGGGUUGCGUAUGUAUGUGUG